rnacentral:misc_RNA from 1 species
ACGGCUUCCUGGCUGUAUUCCUUGCAGGAGAAAAUGUCGACCAUCAUCUGGUUGAAGCGGCUGAACGUGUGAAUCGAGAUGUGGGAAAAAUCGAUGAUGACAAACCCGGUCAUUCCCGGAUUGGCGUCGAUGCCGUUGACUACGUACGGUCCGGCCAGGACAC